ACCUAUACAACUUUCAGCAACGGAUCUCUUGGCUCUCGCAUCGAUGAAGAACGCAGCGAAAUGCGAUAAGUAAUGUGAAUUGCAGAAUUCAGUGAAUCAUCGAAUCUUUGAACGCACCUUGCGCUCCUUGGUAUUCCGAGGAGCAUGCCUGUUUGAGUGUCAUUAAAUUCUCAACCUCACCAACUUG
rnacentral:rRNA from 1 species